rnacentral:rRNA from 1 species
AACGAACGCUGGCGGCAUGCCUAACACAUGCAAGUCGAACGAGACCUUCGGGCCUAGUGGCGCACGGGUGCGUAACGCGGGGGAACCUGCCCUUAGGUUCGGAAUAACUCCCCGAAAGGGGUGCUAAGACCGGAGAAUGUCUUCGGACCAAAGAUUUAUCGCCUUUGGCUGGGCCCGCGUUGGCUUAGCUAGUUGGUAGGGUAAAAGCCUACCAAGGCGACGUUGCAUAGCUGGUCUGAGAGGAUGCUCAGCCACGCUGGGACUGAGACACGGCCCAGACUCCUACGGGAGGCAGCAGUGGGGAAUAUUGGACAAUGGGCGAAAGCCUGACCCAGCAAUGCCGCGUGAGUGAUGAAGGCCUUAGGGUUGUAAAGCUCUUUUACCCGGGAUGAUAAUGACAGUACCGGGAGAAUAAGCACCGGCUAACUACGUG